UACGUAGGGUGCGAGCGUUGUCCGGAAUUAUUGGGCGUAAAGAGCUCGUAGGCGGUUUGUCGCGUCGGCCGUGAAAACUUGGGGCUUAACUCCAGCUUGCGGUCGAUACGGGCAGACUUGAGUUCGGCAGGGGAGACUGGAAUUCCUGGUGUAGCGGUGAAAAUGCGCAGAUAUCAGGAGGAACACCGGUGGCGAAGGCGGGUCUCUGGGCCGAUACUGACGCUGAGGAGCGAAGGCCAGGGGAGCAAACGGG
rnacentral:rRNA from 1 species